GUAGGAUCUGAUAUAUAAGAGUCCUGCCUGCCCAGUGACUGGUAUAGUUAAACGGCCGCGGUAUAUUGACCGUGCAAAGGUAGCAUAAUCAUUUGCCUCUUAAAUUGGGGCUGGAAUGAAUGGCAAGACGGGAAUUAAGCUGUCUCUCUUUUAUAGUUUGAAGUUAAUGUUUUUGUGAAGAAACAGAAAUGUAGUCGUAGGACGAGAAGACCCUAUCGAGCUUUAAUAUACGAGUAUGUAAUAUAUUUAUUAUAGUUUUAUGCUAAUUAUUUAUUAGGAAUUUCUUAAAAAGUUACUGGUAAUUACUAUGGUGUUGUGCAUAUGAUAUUUGGGUUGGGGCAAUCGCGGAGAAUAAAUAUCCUCCGCUAUUUUUUUUAAAAAAAAUCCUUUUAGAUUUGAUGGUUCAAAUUUAAGUGAUCCACUUAAUUAAGUGAAAAAAAGAAUAAGUUACCGUAGGGAUAACAGCGUAAUUUUUUUGGAGAGUUCAUAUUGAUAAAAAAGUUUGCGACCUCGAUGUUGGAUCGGGAUUUCCUGGGGAUGUAGCAGUUCCUGAGGGUUGGUCUGUUCGACCAUUAAAAUCCU
rnacentral:rRNA from 1 species